UACGAAGGGGGCGAGCGUUGUUCGGAAUUACUGGGCGUAAAGCGUGCGUAGACGGUUAAGUAAGUCGGGUGUGAAAGCCCCCGGCUCAACUGGGGAGGGUCACGCGAUACUGAUCGACUCGAAGGCAGGAGAGGGUAGUGGAAUUCCCGGUGUAGUGGUGAAAUGCGUAGAUAUCAGGAGGAACACCGGUGGCGAAGGCGGGUCUCUGGGCCGAAACUGACGCUGAGGAGCGAAAGCGUGGGGAGCAAACAGG
rnacentral:rRNA from 1 species